ACCUGCUUCAAAGAGCUGCGGCAAGGCACGUCACUGCUCUUAGGGUAAUGGGCUGGAGUUCUUGAGCGAGUGGUGAUACAUAAAGGAGAAGUCUUUGCAUAAUUACUGAUACUUAGAAGAUUGCAUUCCAGAAAAUUUGAGGCAUCGCCGCUGAUCUUCCCAGCCAAAAUGAGAGCAGAAGCAGUAGCCAAGUGAUCCCACAUAAUCUGUCUGUCUCUCCUAUACCAAGGACUCCACAUCUAGACACAGUACUCCAGCUGUUUCAAAAGGCUCUGUGAAGGGACCUCCACAGUGAGAAGCAGCCUGAAGUGGGCACCACUGCUGGGAACAGACCCAGGGUGCAGCACAGCCUCUGAGGCUCUAGCAGAGAAAUUCGGUAGUUGAUAGCAGUGGUUGAUUAUUUAGUCCACAAGGAGUGAAAUGGCAAAGACAAAUGGGUUUGUCAUAGGAAGCCUGGGCACCUCAGCUCCCAAGCCACCGGAUGGGGCCCCAAAGCUUUGCAAUGCCCUUCUGGGUAAGGACAGGCCAUACCCAUAGAUCUCAGGCAAAGUGGCAGAUGGAGGGCCAUGGGGUGGCACAGCCCCUUAGGAAGCAGCAGAACUGCUGUUCACCCAGCUGCCAAACACAUCAGCAAGGGAGCUUUGCUGACCUCAG
ensembl:lncRNA